UCUGAUGGAGCGGUUUGAGUGAUGUAG
rnacentral:piRNA from 1 species